rnacentral:misc_RNA from 1 species
UGAGGUGGUGAUACCCGCGAUGCCUAAC